ACUACCGUCGCUACUACCGAUUAGACGAUUUUGUGAGGCCUCUGGACUGAUGCCGCAGGUAUUCGGCCGUGCUGGUUGGACCGCGGCGUCGGGAAACUGGCCAAACCAAACCAUCUAGAGGAAGUAAAAGUCAUAACAAGGUUUCCGUAGGUGAACCUGCGGAAG
rnacentral:ncRNA from 1 species